AGACCUAUAUGGUCCACAAAUGGAGAUGCUGCCUCAAAAAUUGCCAUCUUUAGAAGCACAACCUGGGAUGUGAAUUUUGUACUUAUCUUCCCAUUAAGAAUCAUUUUUCUUGAAUCAAGAGCCCCCAGAAAUAUGUCAUUUGUGUGCACAUAGGCAACCAUUCUCCCUUCAUAAUUUUGGAAGGUCUUCUGGACAGGUUAAAACUGACUUGCACCAUU
rnacentral:lncRNA from 1 species